GGAAGUCCUAGAUGGCCUGAACAGAAACUUCAGAGCUGCUGAACACCCUAAUUAUCCAUAUUCUGAUGACUAUUAGUAUGAGAGUCUUUGUCGCGGCGUCUACCUGAAGCUCCUAAAUGAGGACAAUGACCUUGCUGCUACUGCUGGAGGUGAUGCUAAUGCGACACGGCCCUUCUGGUUGAUCCAUACUUCAUCUAACAAAUGACAGGCAAUUAGAGCCACAUUUACUAACCUACAGAAAUGCCAUUAAGUUUUGAACCACUUAUUGAAAUAAAAAUAACAUUUUUUCCUCUA
rnacentral:lncRNA from 1 species